rnacentral:rRNA from 1 species
GAUGAACGCUAGCGGCAGGCUUAAUACAUGCAAGUCGAACGGGAUUCGGUGUAGCAAUACAUUGAUGAGAGUGGCGCACGGGUGCGUAACGCGUAUGCAACCUACCUUUAACAGGUGAAUAGCCCCGAGAAAUCGGGAUUAAUACACCGUAACAUUGCGGGAUGGCAUCAUUCUGCAAUUAAAGAUUUAUCGGUUAAAGAUGGGCAUGCGCGACAUUAGCUAGUUGGUGAGGUAACGGCUCACCAAGGCGACGAUGUCUAGGGGUCCUGAGAGGGUUAUCCCCCACACUGGUACUGAGACACGGACCAGACUCCUACGGGAGGCAGCAGUAAGGAUAUUGGUCAAUGGGCGCAAGCCUGAACCAGCCAUGCCGCGUGCAGGAAGACGGCCCUA